rnacentral:rRNA from 1 species
AUCGAUAAUCCACGCUAANUUUUACUUUAAUCCAAAACCUAUAUACCGCCAUCUUAAGAAUUAAUUUAAAAAUAUUUCUCUAAAUAAAUAAUAAAAAGUUAGGUCAAGGUGUAAUCCAUAUUAAAGAAAAAGAUGAAUUACAUUAAAUAAUAUUUAAAGAUUACCAAUAAAUAUAUAAGUAUAAAUAAGGAUUUAAAAGUAAUUUAUUAAUAAUAAUAAUACAUGAUAAAGAUAAUAAAUGUGCACACAUCGCCC